rnacentral:rRNA from 1 species
AGAGUUUGAUCCUGGCUCAGGAUGAACGCUGGCGGCGUGCUUAACACAUGCAAGUCGAACGAUGAUCCCAGCUUGCUGGGGGAUUAGUGGCGAACGGGUGAGUAACACGUGAGUAACCUGCCCUUAACUCUGGGAUAAGCCUGGGAAACUGGGUCUAAUACCGGAUAUGACUCCUCAUCGCAUGGUGGGGGGUGGAAAGCUUUAUUGUGGUUUCGGAUGGACUCGCGGCCUAUCAGCUUGUUGGUGAGGUAAUGGCUCACCAAGGCGACGACGGGUAGCCGGCCUGAGAGGGUGACCGGCCACACUGGGACUGAGACACGGCCCAGACUCCUACGGGAGGCAGCAGUGGGGAAUAUUGCACAAUGGGCGAAAGCCUGAUGCAGCGACGCCGCGUGAGGGAUGACGGCCUUCGGGUUGUAAACCUCUUUCAGUAGGGAAGAAGCGAAAGUGACGGUACCUGCAGAAGAAGCGCCGGCUAACUACGUGCCAGCAGCCGCGGUAAUACGUAGGGCGCAAGCGUUAUCCGGAAUUAUUGGGCGUAAAGAGCUCGUAGGCGGUUUGUCGCGUCUGCCGUGAAAGUCCGGGGCUCAACUCCGGAUCUGCGGUGGGUACGGGCAGACUAGAGUGAUGUAGGGGAGACUGGAAUUCCUGGUGUAGCGGUGAAAUGCGCAGAUAUCAGGAGGAACACCGAUGGCGAAGGCAGGUCUCUGGGCAUUAACUGACGCUGAGGAGCGAAAGCAUGGGGAGCGAACAGGAUUAGAUACCCCGGUAGUCC